rnacentral:rRNA from 1 species
CCUACGGGCGGCAGCAGUGAGGAAUAUUGGUCAAUGGGCGCGAGCCUGAACCAGCCAAGUAGCGUGAAGGAUGACUGCCCUACGGGUUGUAAACUUCUUUUAUAAAGGAAUAAAGUGAGGCACGUGUGCCUUUUUGUAUGUACUUUAUGAAUAAGGAUCGGCCAACUCCGUGCCAGCAGCCGCGGUAAUACGGAGGAUCCGAGCGUUACACGGAUUUAUUGGGUGUAAAGGGAGCGUAGAUGGGUUGUUAAGAUAGUUGUGAAAGUUUGCGGCUCAACCGUAAAAUUGCAAUUGAGACUGGCAGUCUUGAGUACAGUUGAGGUAGGCGGAAUUCGUGGUGUAGCGGUGAAAUGCUUAGAUAUCACGAAGAACUCCGAUUGCGAAGGCAGCUUACUAAACUGCCACUGACAUUGAUGCUCGAAAGUGUGGGUAGCAAACAGGAUUAGAUACCCCAGUAGUC